rnacentral:rRNA from 1 species
AGGACGAACGCUGGCGGCGUGCUUAACACAUGCAAGUGGAGCGACGAACCAGGGCUUGCCCUGGGGCAGAGCCGCGAACGGGUGAGUAACACGUGGGUUACGUGCCCCGAUGAUUGGGACAACCCGAGGAAACUCGGGCUAAUACCAAAUGUGCUCGUGUCCGUGAUGGACUCGAGGAAAGGAAGCUUCGGCCUCCGCAUCGGGAUCGGCCCGCGGCCCAUUAGCUAGUUGGUGGGGUAAUGGCCUACCAUGGCGACGAUGGGUAGCUGGUUUGAGAGAGCGACCAGCCACACUGGGACUGAGACACGGCCCAGACUCCUACGGGAGGCAGCAGUGAGGAAUUUUCCGCAAUGGGCGAAAGCCUGACGGAGCGACGCCGCGUGUGGGAAGAAGGCCUUCGGGUCGUAAACCACUGUCGAAGGGGAAGAUAUUGACGGUACCCUUGGAGGAAGCCCCGGCUAACUACGUGCCAGCAGCCGC